UGGACUUAAUAUGAUGAAAACAGCCAAUGCAAUAUAAGGUGUCAAAUCGGCCAAUACAAAAUAACUCGGCCAAUAUGGAUUUUUUCUGUAUUGGCCGAGUUGACACAAAUACAGGAUUUCGAAACGUCUCUUGUUUUUAUAUCGAAAGUCACGAUAAACACAAACUGAAAGUAAAAUUGUUUGGAAGACGCAGUUUUCAUUUAGUCAUCAUAAACAUGCUGUAAAGUUCAGUAUGGCAUAUAUUUCAGGCUAAACGGUCACAUUAAUUUAAAAAGCAUUUUGAAAGCAAACGAUGGAAUUAUUUCAGGUUUGGGGAACGAGUAGAUUGUCACAAAGUUCACUUCUUGACAACCUCAGUCCUGUUUACUUUCGCUUUUUUUGGUUAACUGUCAUUUAUCUUUAAACC
rnacentral:lncRNA from 1 species